rnacentral:rRNA from 1 species
UACGAAGGGUGCAAGCGUUACUCGGAAUUACUGGGCGUAAAGCGUGCGUAGGUGGUUUGUUAAGUCUGAUGUGAAAGCCCUGGGCUCAACCUGGGAAUUGCAUUGGAUACUGGCAGGCUAGAGUGCGGUAGAGGGUAGUGGAAUUCCCGGUGUAGCAGUGAAAUGCGUAGAGAUCGGGAGGAACAUCCGUGGCGAAGGCGACUACCUGGACCAGCACUGACACUGAGGCACGACAGCGUGGGGAGCAAACAGG